rnacentral:rRNA from 1 species
CUACGGGGUGCUCCAGUGGGGAAUAUUGCACAAUGGGCGCAAGCCUGAUGCAGCCAUGCCGCGUGUAUGAAGAAGGCCUUCGGGUUGUAAAGUACUUUCAGCGGGGAGGAAGGGAGUAAAGUUAAUACCUUUGCUCAUUGACGUUACCCGCAGAAGAAGCACCGGCUAACUCCGUGCCAGCAGCCGCGGUAAUACGGAGGGUGCAAGCGUUAAUCGGAAUGACUGGGCGUAAAGCGCACGCAGGCGGUUUGUUAAGUCAGAUGUGAAAUCCCCGGGCUCAACCUGGGAACUGCAUCUGAUACUGGCAAGCUUGAGUCUCGUAGAGGGGGGUAGAAUUCCAGGUGUAGCGGUGAAAUGCGUAGAGAUCUGGAGGAAUACCGGUGGCGAAGGCGGCCCCCUGGACGAAGACUGACGCUCAGGUGCGAAAGCGUGGGGAGCAAACAGGAUUAGAUACCCCCGUAGUC